rnacentral:rRNA from 1 species
UUACCAGGUCUUGACAUCCCGAUGCUAUUUCUAGAGAUAGAAAGUUACUUCGGUACAUCGGUGACAGGUGGUGCAUGGUUGUCGUCAGCUCGUGUCGUGAGAUGUUGGGUUAAGUCCCGCAACGAGCGCAACCCCUAUUGUUAGUUGCCAUCAUUCAGUUGGGCACUCUAGCGAGACUGCCGGUAAUAAACCGGAGGAAGGUGGGGAUGACGUCAAAUCAUCAUGCCCCUUAUGACCUGGGCUACACACGUGCUACAAUGGUUGGUACAACGAGUUGCGAGUCGGUGACGGCGAGCUAAUCUCUUAAAGCCAAUCUCAGUUCGGAUUGUAGGCUGCAACUCGCCUACAUGAAGUCGGAAUCGCUAGUAAUCGCGGAUCAGCACGCCGCGGUGAAUACGUUCCCGGGCCUU